GACGAACGCUGGCGGCGUGCUUAACACAUGCAAGUCGAACGGAAAGGCCCUGCUUUUGUGGGGUGCUCGAGUGGCGAGCGGGUGAGUAACACGUGCGUACCCUGCCCUUGACUUUGGGUUAACUUCAGGAAACUGAGGCUAAUACACGAUCGAAGCUCCUGCUCCAUGGUGGGGGUUGGAAAGUUUCGGCGGUUGGGGAUGGACUCGCGGCUUAUGAGCUUGUUGGUGGGGUAGUGGCUUACCAAGGCUUUGACGGGUAGCCGGCCUGGGAGGGUGACCGGGCACAAGGGGCCUGAGAUACGGACCAGAGUCGUAUGGGAGGCAGUAGGCGGGAGCAUUGCACAACGGGGGGGAGCGUGAGACAGAGACGUCGCGUGCGGGAUGACCGCCUGCGGGGUGUAAAACGCUUUCGGCUGAGACGAAGCGUGAGUGACGGUAAUGGGUAAAGAAGCACCGGCUAACUACGUG
rnacentral:rRNA from 1 species